GAUGAAGAACGUAGCGAAAUGCGAUAAGUAAUGUGAAUUGCAGAAUUCAGUGAAUCAUCGAAUCUUUGAACGCACAUUGCGCCCGCCAGUAUUCUGGCGGGCAUGCCUGUUCGAGCGUCAUUUCAACCAUCAAGCCCUGCUUGCGUUGGGGUCCUGCGGCUGCCCGCAGGCCCUGAAAACCAGUGGCGGGCUCGCUAGUCACACCGAUCGCAGUAAUACAUCUCGCUUUGGGCGUGCGGCGGGUUCUUGCCGUUAAACACCCCCUUUUUACCAAGGUUGACCUCGGAUCAGGUAGGAAUACCCGCUGAACUUAAGCAUAUCAAUAAGCGGAGGA
rnacentral:misc_RNA from 1 species